rnacentral:lncRNA from 1 species
CCCAUCUUGCCUUAAACCGAAGGUUGCUGGCAGAGUUUCAGGCUGUAUACAUGAUUUGAAUCAGGUGACAGCCUGCUGGGAACUCCAUUAAGAAGAAAAAGAGCACUGGGCGCAAUGGCUCGAGCCUGUAAUCCUAGCACUUUGGGAGGCUGAGGUGGGCUGACUGCCUGAGCUCAGGAGUUUGAGACCACCCUGAACAACAUGGUGAGACCCCAUCUCUACUAAAAUACAAAAAAUUAACUGUGCAUGGUGGUGCGCAGCUGUAGUCCCAGCUACUCGGGAGGCUGAGAUGGGAGAAUCACUUGCACCCGGGAUGCUGAGGUUGCAGUGAGCCGAGAUUGCGCCACUGCACUCCAGCCUGGGUGACAGAGUGAGACUCCAUCUAAAAAAAAAAAAAAGAAGAAGAAGAAGGAAAAGAACGAGCUGAGGCCCAGGCCUCAGCUGGGGAAAUCCUCUACAGAGUGGCCAAGAGUCCAGAUCCAGAGUCUUCAGGACCUGGUAUGCUUAUGUCUGGUCUGGGCUGAUGCAGGAUCAGCCAGGGUUGUAUGCAGGUGGUGGGGUGGGGGCAGCAAGUUUCCAGAGAAUAUGUCCCAGCUGGCAGGGUGAGCAUGAAAACUAUGAAACUAGGAGCUUUAUUAAUUAAGCCCCAG